CCUACGGGUGGCAGCAGUGAGGAAUAUUGGUCAAUGGACGCAAGUCUGAACCAGCCAAGCCGCGUGAAGGAAGACGGCGCUAUGAGUUGUAAACUUCUUUUGUACGAGGACAAACGCAGACACGCGUGCCUGUCUGAAAGUAACGUACGAAUAAGGAUCGGCUAACUCCGUGCCAGCAGCCGCGGUAAUACGGAGGAUGCAAGCGUUAUCCGGAUUUAUUGGGUUUAAAGGGUGCGUAGGCGGUCGGGUAAGUUAGCGGUGAAAUCCCGAGGCUCAACCUCGGAAUUGCCUUUGAUACUGGUCGUCUAGAGAGUAGUUGAGGUAUGCGGAAUGUGUGGUGUAGCGGUGAAAUGCUUAGAGAUCAUGCAGAACGCCGAUUGCGAAGGCAGCUUACC
rnacentral:rRNA from 1 species